rnacentral:rRNA from 1 species
GAUGAACGCUGGCGGCGUGCCUAAUACAUGCAAGUCGAGCGAACAGACGAGGAGCUUGCUCCUCUGACGUUAGCGGCGGACGGGUGAGUAACACGUGGAUAACCUACCUAUAAGACUGGGAUAACUUCGGGAAACCGGAGCUAAUACCGGAUAAUAUAUUGAACCGCAUGGUUCAAUAGUGAAAGACGGUUUUGCUGUCACUUAUAGAUGGAUCCGCGCCGCAUUAGCUAGUUGGUAAGGUAACGGCUUACCAAGGCAACGAUGCGUAGCCGACCUGAGAGGGUGAUCGGCCACACGGGAACUGAGACACGGUCCAGACUCCUACGGUAGGCAGCAGUAGGGAAUCUUCCGCAAUGGGCGAAAGCCUGACGGAGCAACGCCGCGGGAGUGAUGAAGGUCUUCGGAUCGUAAAACUCUGUUAUUAGGGAAGAACAAAUGUGUAAGUAACUAUGCACGUCUUGACGGUACCUAAUCAGAAAGCCACGGCUAACUACGUG